AUUGAACGCUGGCGGCAGGCCUAACACAUGCAAGUCGAGCGGAUGAAGGGAGCUUGCUCCUGGAUUCAGCGGCGGACGGGUGAGUAAUGCCUAGGAAUCUGCCUGGUAGUGGGGGAUAACGUCCGGAAACGGGCGCUAAUACCGCAUACGUCCUGAGGGAGCAAGUGGGGGAUCUUCGGACCUCACGCUAUCAGAUGAGCCUAGGUCGGAUUAGCUAGUUGGUGGGGUAAAGGCCUACCAAGGCGACGAUCCGUAACUGGUCUGAGAGGAUGAUCAGUCACACUGGAACUGAGACACGGCCCAGACUCCUACGGGAGGCAGCAGUUGGGAAUCUUGGACGAUGGAGGAAAGCCUGAUCCUGCCAAGCCGCGUGUGGGAAGAAGGUCUUCGGAUUGGAAAGCACUUUAAGUUGGGAGGAAGUGCAGUAAGUUAAUACCUUGCUGUUUUGACGUUACCAACAGAAUAAGCACCGGCUAACUUCGUG
rnacentral:rRNA from 1 species